rnacentral:SRP_RNA from 2 species
GCCGGGCAUGGUGGCACAUGCCUGUAGUCCCAGCUAUUUGGGAGGCUAAGUCAGGAGGAUAGAUUGGGCCCAGGAGGUCUAGGCUGCAGUGAGCCAUGAAUGAUCACACCACUGCACUCAAGCCUGGGCAACAGAGCAAAACCCUGUCUCAA